rnacentral:rRNA from 1 species
UGCAGUCGAGGGGUAGUUAUCUUCGGAUAAUGAGACCGGCGCACGGGUGCGUAACGCGUAUGCAAUCUACCUUUCACAGAGGGAUAGCCCAGAGAAAUUUGGAUUAAUACCUCAUAGUAUAGUAGUCUCGCAUGAGACCACUAUUAAAGAUUUAUCGGUGAAAGAUGAGCAUGCGUCCCAUUAGUUAGUUGGUAAGGUAACGGCUUACCAAGACUACGAUGGGUAGGGGUCCUGAGAGGGAGAUCCCCCACACUGGUACUGAGACACGGACCAGACUCCUACGGGAGGCAGCAGUGAGGAAUAUUGGACAAUGGGCGCAAGCCUGAUCCAGCCAUGCCGCGUGCAGGAUGACGGUCCUAUGGAUUGUAAACUGCUUUUAUACAGGAAGAAACACUGGUUCGUGAACCAGCUUGACGGUACUGUAAGAAUAAGGAUCGGCUAACUCCGUGCCAGCAGCCGCGGUAAUACGGAGGAUCCAAGCGUUAUCCGGAAUCAUUGGGUUUAAAGGGUCCGUAGGCGGUCAGAUAAGUCAGUGGUGAAAGCCCAUCGCUCAACGGUGGAACGGCCAUUGAUACUGUCUGACUUGAAUUAUUAGGAAGUAACUAGAAUAUGUAGUGUAGCGGUGAAAUGCUUAGAGAUUACAUGGAAUACCAAUUGCGAAGGCAGGUUACUACUAAUAUAUUGACGCUGAUGGACGAAAGCGUGGGUAGCGAACAGGAUUAGAUACCCUGGUAGUCCACGCCGUAAACGAUGGAUACUAGCUGUUGGGAGCAAUCUCAGUGGCUAAGCGAAAGUGAUAAGUAUCCCACCUGGGGAGUACGAACGCAAGUUUGAAACUCAAAGGAAUUGACGGGGGCCCGCACAAGCGGUGGAGCAUGUGGUUUAAUUCGAUGAUACGCGAGGAACCUUACCAAGGCUUAAAUGUAGAUGGACCGGGUUUGGAAACAGACUUUUCCCAAGACAAUUUACAAGGUGCUGCAUGGUUGUCUUCAGCUCGUGCCCUUUAGGUGUCAGGGUUAAGUCCUUAUAACUAGCCGCAACCGCCUGUUUGUUAGUUGGCCAACCAAGUCAGUGUCGGGGAACUCUAACAAAAAC